rnacentral:lncRNA from 1 species
UUUUUUUUUUUUUUUUUUUUUUUUUUUGAGUCCGGGACCUCUUUCAGUCCAAUGAAGUCUAUGAAAACCUUCUGAGUGAUGCUUAAUAGAAAACAAUUAUAGGGGCACUUGGGAGGCUCAGUGGUUGGCAUGUCUGCCUUUGGCUCAGGGCAUGGUCCUGGGAUGGAGUCCAGCAUCAGGCUCCCCAUGGGGAGCCUGCUUCUCCCUCUGUCUCUGCCUGUCUCUCAUGAAUAAAAAUCUUUAAAAAAAAUUUUGAAAUAGUUAUCAAAAUAUUUUUUGAAUUAUGUACACUUAGUGCAUUAAAUAAGUUCUAGCAGCAGAUCUAGUAUCUAUUUUGAAGUAGUAAUGGUGUUUCAAGAUAACUAGAACCUGAAAAAUGAUAUAUUUCAUACGUCAUAUGAAAAUACCUGACUGACUUUGACUUGCUAAUGCUACCAUGGUGUGGUACGUAUAUCCAGAAUUGACAGAAAUGCUUGAUUUCAGUUAGAGGCUAGUGCAAUCAAUUCUUCUUUCCUGUCCAGGUCCCCUGGACCCUGUAAAUUCCAUCCAUGGUCCCCUUACCCCUGUGUGAAGACCUUUCAUGCUAAUGCAGUUUCCAGGAUCUGGUGUCUGUGGUCAAAUUUGAAUUUGCAGUUGCUUCCAUCAUAACUAGAUCUAGUAGCACCAGCAUUUGAAAAAUUACCCCCCGGGGGGCACAGUUGGCUAGGCUUCUGACUCUUGGUUUCAGUUCAGGUCAUGGUCUGGGUCCUGGGAUAAAACCCCCCAUUGGAGAGCAAUGUGUCUGCUUGAACAAGGAGUCUGCUUGGAGAGAGAUUCUCUCUCUCCUCCUGUAAAAUAAAUCUUAAAACAACAACAAAAAAGGGACACCUAGGUGGCUCGGCAGUUGAGCAUCUGCAUUUGGCUCCUUGUGGUCUCAGGUUCCCGGGACUGAGUCCCACAGCAGGCUCCCUGCAUGAAGCCUACUUCUCCCUUUGCCUGUGUCUCUGCCUCUCUUUAAUGAAUAAAUAACAUUUUAAAAAAGAAAAAAACUUAGCCCCACCAGCCCUGCCCAAAAUACUUUGCAUUAGGAGGGCUUCACCAAAUGCCCUCUUUGUGGUACAGUGCAUGGUCUUUUCCUAAUAAGCAGCUCUUUAACAUGACUCAAUCCUCACUCCUUAGUUCUAGGGACUUUGAUCCAUUGAAGACACAGAUUGUACGUGUGUCAAACAAUUCUGAAGUUCUCAAGCCACUGUACCCACUCACAUUGUACCAUAUGUUUCUUAAAAGGUUGCAAAAGACUGUCUUCAGCCUAACACAGAGUGUAGCUUUUGGCCAAAGCCACACGGGUAACAUGAAUGACACAGUUAAUUCUAGUAUUCAGUGUACAGUCCUCUGCCCUUGUUAGUGUUAAGUGUCCCAGGAGGGGAAUAGUGUUUCACUUGUAUUGGUGGUUACCUAUGGAUUUGAAACAACCUACCUUCAUUUCUUUUCAUUUUGGUAAAAGAUCCCUUUAUGAGUAAGAGAAACUGAUUCCCCCUGUAGAGUUCUUUUAAAACAGACAUCUCUGGAUUUUGAGAAAAACUAGAUGCAUUUGCCUCUUCCAUCCCUCCAUCCCCAGGUGCAGAAAGACAUCUCUAAUAUCGGUAUCUGAGGGCAUCCAUGGUUGCAAAUGUCCUUUAGAAAUGUGCAGCCUUUGAAAGAAAAAAAUCUUUAUUCCAGAUACUCAUUUCUUCCCUGACCCUCACCCAGUCUCUAACCCAGGGGUCGGCAAACUUUUUUGUAAACCAGGUAGUAAAUAUCUUAGGCUUUGUGGCCAUUCCGUCUCUGUUGCAACAAUUCAACUCUGACCUCGUAGUAUAAAGGCAGCCGUGGACAAUACGUAAAGGAAUGCAUAGUUGUGCUCGAGGUAAUCUUUAUGGACAGUGAAAUGAGCUUCAUGUAAUUUUCCACGUCACAAAAUACUUUCUUUGAUUUGUUUUCUCAAGCAUUUAAAAAUCUAAAAACCGCUCUUAGCUCCGGGAUUGUGCAAAAACAGGUGGUGGAUUGCCCCGGGAAAGCCUGAGCAGAGGGUACAAGGGAUCUCUCUGUUACUUUGUACAACUGCAUUAUGGACCUACAGGUCUCAGUAGAAAGGUUUUGUGUUGUGUGGGGUUUUUUUCUUUUUUUUUCUUUUGUUUUUUAAUAGGCUGGGUUUGGUCCCUAAGCUAUAGUUUACAACCCCUGCCAGUCAGAACAGCUUAUGAAAAUACGGUAUUUGAUUUUAAACUGCUUGCGUUUCUUAGAUUGUUUUCGACAUGAACAGAAUGCUUGAGCAUGAUUUCUUCUGAUGUGUGCUGUUCCUAAAUAUUGCCUUUGUGUUGUAGUUCAAAUAGAAAAAAAGCCUUUGCCGUGUAGGAAUCCAUGUGAUUAAAGACUCCAGUGUUUCUCAAGCAUCUAACUGAUAGAUGAAGUGAGUUUACAUUUGUCAGAUGUUCGCUUAUUGAGGAAAGAUGAUGUGUCGAGCUUUCUAAUUAUGAAAGUCGUUUAUAAAAAAAAAGUCUUGCAUUCUAAGCGUCUUGUUUGUAUUUUAAAAUCGUAAUGCAUACACAUGGAUUAGGGAAAGAAAAAAGGAUGUGUCGUGAGAAGUCUCUCUAGGUUCCUCUUUGUCCCUUCCAAGAGGCGCUCCUCAUUAGCAAUGUCUUUGUAUCCAUAAAAGCUUUAAUUUCAAAUUUGUCAUCGUGGCUGUUUUUGUAUUGGGUUAGCUGCCAAAGGCAAUUAUAGUAGCUCCCAGUGGCAGGUGGGAGCCUCCAACACCUCAACUCCAUACAGCAACUUUCCAACAUAGGUGAUGCUGGCCCCACUUUAUAGAUCGAGCUCCUGAAAAAGUCAUCAGUCACUAGCAGGUAGUGGUCCUAGACAUUUCCUUGUCAUUCUCCCCAUUGUCGGCACAGGAAGCACCAGGGCAUGGGGCCAAAGGCCCUCUGUCUAGGCUCACACACCAAGCAGUAGUGAUCCUUGCCUCCCACCUUGUGAACGACCUCUCUCCAUUCUCUUUUCCUUUUCUACUCCUCCCAUCUACAUGGGGGCCUCCUCUGCAACAGGCUCCUGCAAAGGGCCAUCGUGGUCACCUUGGAGAUGCAUUCCCUGCAAGUCAUGGCACAUUACCUGUGACCAUUCCAAUAAGGAUUCCACGGAUCCAAAAAUCAGCUUUCUUUUUUUUUUUUUAAACAAGUAUUGAAGUUUUAAAAAUUGUUCUUGAAUAGGCAAAGACUAAUAGGACACAUAUCCUCUGACAGCUCUUGCAUUUUUAUAUCCGGUGGGCAUGGUCAACCAUUAAAAUAAGCCCACAUUUGUUUAGUCAGACUAAGCUACAAAUCCAUAGUCCUUCCUCUGGAAAACAGAGACUACAGUGAAGCAGACAAAACCUACCCCCUGACAAAGGCCUCUAAGACCAGAAAGCAGUGCCCUAGUGCUUGGCUCAGGGCGUUAGAUAGUGUGUUAAUCAACCAUUGCUGAAAUAAUAUUGCCUAACAACACCCCCCCCCCCCCAAAAAAAAAAAAAAAAAA